GAUGAACGCUGGCGGCGUGCCUAAUACAUGCAAGUCGAGCGAACAGAUGAGGAGCUUGCUCCUCUGACGUUAGCGGCGGACGGGUGAGUAACACGUGGAUAACCUACCUAUAAGACUGGGAUAACUUCGGGAAACCGGAGCUAAUACCGGAUAAUAUAUUGAACCGCAUGGUUCAAUAGUGAAAGACGGUUUUGCUGUCACUUAUAGAUGGAUCCGCGCCGCAUUAGCUAGUUGGUAAGGUAACGGCUUACCAAGGCAACGAUGCGUAGCCGACCUGGGAGGGGUGAUCGGCACAGUAGGAGUAGAGACAGCAGGCAGACUCGAAGGGGAGAACGGAAUGGGAUAGUUUCAGAAGAGAGCAAAAGCGUGAAGAAGAAGCGCGCGUGAAGGGAAAAAAGUUGUCGGAGGUUAAAGCUUUUUUAGGAAGGAAAAAAAAAUGUGAAAGUAACGAUAAACAUAUGGAGGGAACUAAAUAAAAAAGCCACGCUUAGCAAGGU
rnacentral:rRNA from 1 species